rnacentral:tRNA from 1 species
GCCCUUGUAGCUCAGUUGGUAGAGUACGUCCAUGGUAAGGAUGGGGUCACCGGUUCAAGUCCGGUCAAGGGCU